AUUAUACGAUUCAAACAGUCAACUGUUCAUGAAUGUUCAAACCUCAGACUUUGAAAAGAGGAAGAAUUCAAAAAUCAGCCUAUGAAGCAUCCUUUCUUUUUCUUUCUUUCUUUCUUUCUUUCUUUCUUUCUUUCUUCAAAAGUUUUAAACUUCAGUAGCAAAUGUACACUAACAGGUUUGUAGAAUUCAAAUAUUUCUGUCUUUAUGCAGUAGUCUUUGGUGAAUUACAUUUGUUAAUAAGGAUAUUUAAUUGUGGAGCUGGGCUUGGACAAAGAAUUCUGGAUCCAGAUCUGGAUCUGAAUGUUGUGGCUUGAGCCUACAGCUCUAUAGAUCCAAACAUCUCUACAGAAUGCAAAUAUUGGUAAGUUGCAGUGAGCCAGGGCUUGCUCUUAUGGCUAUUUACACUCCUAUUCUGUGUCUUCAUCCUCCUAAAGAGUUUUUGCUCUGGAAAGCUGCUCUAGGUAGGUAUUGAGGUGUAGACAUUCCUAUUAAAGGAAGCUGAGCUCUGGUUCUUUCUCCAAGACGCAAUUGAGAGUAGCAGCACUUUUUAUUAAGGCUGAUCCAAAAUUUUCUGUCAAAACAUUUUGACAAUUGGGUUAUCGACAACAUGACAUUUUUUGCAGAAAGUGUCUACUUUUCUAGACUAUUUUUGUUGAGGGAAGCCUGAAUUUUGUUCUGUUUUGUUUUUGUUCAAAGCAUUUCAUUUGCUCAAAAAAAAAAAAAUUCCUUGGAAAAAUUCCCCAAUUUCCAACCAGCUCUAUUUCUAAUUCAAUAAAACACAAAUUCUUACAGCUUUGCUUGAACAAGAAGAAAGAUGCAAACAGUGAAAGAGUGAAACAAAAUGAAUGUAAAAGGAAAACGGCAAAGAGAACAACCUAUUCAGAUCUGUUUUACAGAGAUCACUCUUGCAGCUUUCCCAUCAUGUCUUGGAUUCUGCUCCCAGAUUCACAACUCCCCGGGAGCAUCACAGUAGCACCUUGUUUCCCAAUGUGCUCUUUUCCCAGGCUCAGACUUAUACCAAAGCAUUGCAGAAGCUCUCCCUCUUUUUCAGUGAUUCCAGGAUCUCCAAUUCUGCACCCACCUCUUUCUACAGUCCAGAAAGAGCUGGUGUUAGCUUUGGGCAGAGGACAUCUGUAUAAUGCCAACAGAUCAAAGAAUGAAGUGUUCAUAAGAAGAUCUGCCUACUGAAAUUACACUAUUAGCUGCUCUCUAGUCAGGCUGCAUUUGGAUAAAAACUGCAAAUACUUCCCACUGCAAAUUGUUAACUUGUUAUUUAUUAUUUGUAUUGCAAUUAGUCACUAGAGAUCUCAGUGAGGUCAGGGCUCCAUUGUGCUGGGCACUGUACAGACAUAUAGUAAGAGACAGGUUCAGUCACAAAAAGUUGCAGUAUCAAAGACAAGACUUAAUUUCAAACAAACAGGAGGAGAGAGGGGAGGAGGAGGAGCAGGAACAAGUGCUUACCACAAUUUGGAGAUGUAAUAAGCCGAUCAGUAGCUGUAACAUUAACUUGCCACCUGCCUAAACAUUAUCAGCAGGGUGGGUUUUGUAGGCAGCAUGACAGAGGUGAGUUAAGGGGGCAUUUGAAGGAAGAGAAGGUAAUGGCUGUAUAGAUUCUAUAGGGGAGUUUUUUCUAUGCAUAUUGUGCAGCAUGGGAGAAAGUGCAAAAGUGCUUCUGAAAAAAUCUGGUGGAUGGGAGGUAGGUAGGAAGGUAAGCUUUUCUGGUAAGGCUAGCUGGAGGAUCAUGGUAACAAAGGCUGCCACACUGAACUAAAAUGUAAGUGUAUCUUUGUCAUAUUUGGCUACAGUGCACCAGGUUCACUCUGUUUUGUCCGCAAAAAGAACAGGAGUACUUGUGGCACCUUAGAGACUAACAAAGUACUCCUGUUCUUUUUGCGGAUACAGACUAACACGGCUGCUACUCUGAAAUCUGUUUUGUCCCCUACUCUUGCCCUUGCUCCCUCCACAUGCACACUGGUCCUUAGUUAUGUACACAUACCUCGCCACUAACAUCGCUUUAAAUCACACACCUGCAGUGGAAUGUUUUGCACUCAUAACUUGCCACAUUACAAACAUAGCAUGUGUCUAACUUCCUGCUUCAGGAGGUGGUCAAUAUCCGAAGUUUGAGGGAGUUGGAUCCCAUUCCAACUUACCCUCCCCCGAUCCUUACCCUAAUCUUCAUAUACAAAUCUACAAAUCUUGUUAUUGGGCAUAACAUUUCCUUCCCCUUUCAAAACCCAGCUACAAUAUUUAACUUUGUAGUCUCCUGCAGCAGUGAGUUUCACAGGCUGACUGCACACUAAAGCUGGCCUCAUUCAACUCUCUCAUUGUAGAGCAUGUAUCAGUGAUUGGUUGCCAACCCCUUCUCUCCCUUGUGAGCUGGUGAUGCUUAAGUAUUCUUUAGGCCUCUCCCCUCCCCCACUUAUUUUCUGCUAACGUCUGACCUGGCACACCCAGCCUCUGCAGUGUUAGAUUGCUCAAUCACUGCGUUAUCUGUCUGCAUGUUGCUCUUUGCCCUACAGUGUGCUGAAGAAAUGAUACCUGGACUCUAUAGCCUGUGGGACAACAUGACCAAAAUACCUUCUUCUAACAGAUGGCUCUGAAAAAUUUCCAGUGAAACUCCAGGGUCAAAUCAGCUGCUCUCUGGCCUUGGUGGAAGAAAAAAAGAGAGAGCACAAAGGCACAGAUGGAAGGGGCCAGCUAACAAUGAUGAGUCAAAUCAUUCAGUCUUCACUCCUUCUAUAUCAUAGGCAAAGUUCCUGCUGAUGUCGAUGGGAGUGUCAGGUGCUCAGCACCUCUAAGGAUGUAGCCCAAUGGCAAUUUUGCCUCAAUGAGGACUGCAGUAUUUGACCUGAUUGUUUAUGUUUAUGUUUUAUUACUGAAAGAGAUGUAAUUGCUUGCCAAAGACAAUCCUCGAGAAGUCCCAGCUCAAUAUUAUUUUAGAGGUUAUGAUCUUGACAGUUAUACCCAUCUGAUGUCACUCUUGCUCAGGCAAUUGUCAUCUUUCCUUUGGUCUCCUAAACUGGUGAAUUUCUCCUAGAUCCUGGAAAAUGAAGACAGUGUGAUAUUGACACUCUUCUCUGUUUUAUGCAGGUUCUGAAAUGAUCCAAUCAGAUGAAAUGGGAAGCUGAUAUCAAUGGGAAACCACUGCAAGUAUCACUUCCUGGUAUCAAUGGACUCUGGCAAUGAUUUGUUUGGGAAAUUCCUAAAGCAGGAAAGCCACACAAAGGCCUUGAAGUUCCUGACCCAGGUUAGGGUACCUUCAGACUGUUCUAACUGGUGUUAGCUGGCAACUGUUCCUUCUGGACUGUACACCAACUGGAGAUAGCCAGAGCAUAUUGUGCUCCAGCCGACCCUUUUCUGGACAUGACCUUCCCCAUCCCCAAUACACCCCCUGCACUGGGCUUUGAGGGGGGAAGUGUAAGAGCUGCCUACCCUGGUUCUACACCCUCUGGAGCCGCCCUCGGGCUUGGAGUGGGAGUUGGGGGCUGUCUCUGCUCUCUUUGUGCCACACAGACUGAGAGGCCCACAGAGAUGGUACAAAUGAGUGGAAUAGGGUGACCAGACAGCAAAUGUGAAAAAUCGGGACGGAGGUGGGGGGGGGGUAAUAGGAGCCUAUAUAAGAAAAAGACCCAAAAAUCGGGACUGUCCCUAUAAAAUCGGGACAUCUGGUCACCCUAGAGUGGAAUGAGUCAGAGAAAGUGGCCUCCAAGCUCUAGCACUUCCACAUCUUGACCAGCGAACAACUAUGUCUGCCAUCGUGUUCACCUUCACAUCCCAAUAAUCAUGAAAAGCCAGCAAUGAACCUCACUCUGACUGGAGUCUGAUGAAAUUCUCUUACCCUUCCAGUGCUCACCUCUCAGCACAGGCGCAUAAGGAAGAGAAAAGUGACGGUAUAUAGCUGGUGCCACUCUGCUGAAUGAUGUGAUACCGUGAUGAUUGGGUGCUUUAUAAAGCUAGAUAGAUCAGAUAAUCCUUUUUAGAUUGUAAUCUCUUUGGGGUAGGGACAUUCUCAGUGUUGUGCCUUAGCACAUUGUCUGUGCUUUCACAGUUGUUAAUAGACAGCUACUGAGGGCUAGAUAAAGUAUUUUAGAAGGAUGCUGUCAAGGCAUUCUACAAAGUGUUUAAAAUCCUGUUAUUUUGGCAAUGUUUAUAAUAAAUAAUUCACACCCACA